ACUCAAAGGAAUAGACGGGGGCCCGCACAAGCAGUGGAGUAUGUGGUUUAAUUCGAAGCAACGCGAAGAACCUUACCAGGUCUUGACAUCCAACUAACGAGGCAGAGAUGCGUCAGGUGCCCUUCGGGGAAAGUUGAGACAGGUGGUGCAUGGUUGUCGUCAGCUCGUGUCGUGAGAUGUUGGGUUAAGUCCCGCAACGAGCGCAACCCUUACGGUUAGUUGCUACGCAAGAGCACUCUAACCGGACUGCCGUUGACAAAACGGAGGAAGGUGGGGAUGAUGUCAAAUCAUCAUGCCCUUUAUGACCUGGGCCACACACGUACUACAAUGGCGCCUAACAACGGGAAGCUAAGCAGCGAUGUGGAGCAAAUCCCCAAAAGGCGUCUCAGUUCGGAUCGCAGGCUGAAACUCGCCUGCGUGAAGUCGGAAUUGCUAGUAAUCGCAGAUCAGCAUGCUGCGGUGAAUACGUUCCCGGGCCUUGUACACACCGCCCGU
rnacentral:rRNA from 1 species